CUGCAGCUCAAGUGGUGAUCGCUAUUAUUGGGCCUAAAACGUUCGUAGCCGGUUUGGUAAAUGCCUGGGUAAAUAGUGUAGCUUAACUAUACGAAUUCCGGGUAGACUGCCAAACUUGAGACCGGGAGAGGCUAGAGGUACUCCUGGGGUAGAGGUGAAAUUCUGUAAUCCUGAGGGGACCACCAGUGGCGAAGGCGUCUAGCUAGAACGGGUCUGACGGUGAGGAACGAAGCCCUGGGGCGCGAACCGGAUUAGAUACCCGAGUAGUCC
rnacentral:rRNA from 1 species